AAAAAAUUGAAUGGCUGCUUCACAGUCUUAGACAGGUGGCUGCUGAGGUCUUAGAUUAUAAAUUAAGGAAACGAGGAAAGCUCACCUUUAAAAGUCUGUUUUAUCCUGGCUGAGCUCUGACAAGACCUGUCUAAUAGUACAGUGGUAUGAUGAAGGGCAACAUUAUAUCAGAGGAAUUUCUGCAGUGAGAAGCAUGAGCUUCAUGUAUUUAUCUUAUCUGCACCGUAAGCAUUGUUAAAAUGUGACAGAUCACAGAAGUUGUGGGGAGGAAAAUUAGAUAGAUCUGAUCUGUGAAGUUCAGCCAGACCACCAGUUGCCACACCAGCAGGAAAAGAAUACCAAGGCAUUUGAAACUGAUAAUGGGCCUUGAUGGCCUUGGCCAUCUGCUCCACAGCGACCCUUCAAUCAAUACUGACAGUCACAGUGAAACUGAAAAUGCAUUUACAUGGAGAGUAUUUUUUUAUGAUGGCCAGUUCAGGGCCCUCAGUGUACACCCCCACCCCAAUGAUUACUGAAGCACGCUCUCAAUAGGUAUUCAGCUUUGUGAUAUCAUACUGUACUGUUUAUCAUCUCCCUGCUUACAUCCCCAUUAUUACAAAAGGCAUGACUGAUUUGUUCCCUUGCUAUCAAAGCACCUCCAGAAGCCUCCACCUCUCCUGUACUGUUUCACAUCUGUGAACAAAUCAGAGGUAUAUAUUGAAGCUA